GCGCGCUCGUCUGGGCGUCGUCGCGGCUGCCUCUGCGGCUCGGGAGCUGCAGCUCGGAGGCUGUGGCUGCGGGAGUCCGCGGGCGCCGUCGCAGGGGCACGAACCCGACGAAUCGGAGGAGGAGGCCGGGGACGUGGAGUCCCAGUGGCCGGCCCAGCCCCAGCCCUGGGCGAAGAUCCAGUGGUCGUGGCCGAGGAGGCUCUGCGGAGGAGGCGACUGGGCCAUGGCCGGGCUGCAGGCUCUGGGAGGCUGGGUUGGCCACCUCCAGGCCUGAGCUUUUAUGUUGACCAAAGGUGCGAGGUGGCCCCCCGCCAGGUUGCAGAGAGGUGUCAAAACCCACAGAGCCCAGGGAAAGUCUGGGCAGGGGGCCCCUGGGAAAGCGGGCCCAUUUGCGGAGGUGUGGAUUCUGACUCCUUGGGGGCUCUAAAUGGAGGCCCCUGCAGCCCGGGAAGUAUGGGAGGGACAAUUCGCAUCUGGAUGGAGCUGCUAAGCUUCUCACCACGCUCCCACCCACGCCCCUGCCCCGUCCACUGCUCACGACUUGGUCUAUCGUCCAGGCUGGAGUGCAGUGGCACCAUCUCAGCUCACCGCAACCUCUGCCUCCUGGGUUCAAGUGAUUCUUCUGCCUCAGCCUCUCAAGUAGGUGGGACUACAGGUAUGCACCAUCACGUCUGGCUAAUUGUUGUAUUUUUAGUAGAGACUGGUUUUUGCCAUGUUAGCCAGGCUGGUCUUAAACUCCUGACCUCCAGUGAUCCACCCGCCUUGGCCUCCCAAAGUGCUGGGAUUAUAGGCGUCAGCCACUGCGCCUGGCCGAAUUCAUAUUUAGCAACCAGUAAAUGUCGAGCACACAGGGUGAAUGAGCUAGUCAUGGUCUCUGCUCUAAUGAGAUUUCAGUCUUGUGGGAAAGAAAAGUGAACAGGCCAUUGUAUGACAGUAGCUGUAUGCCCUUAGGCAGAGCCCUUAACCUGUUUGAGCUUGAGCUUCUGCUCAGUAAAACAGGAAUAAUGAUAGUAUCUACAUGGGAUUGUGUAAGGGAUAGUUGAGAUAGUAAAAUUUAUAAAGUAAAUGAUAUUCUCAGCAACAAUUACAGUUUAAAGGAGAUUGUCAAUGUCCUGUGUGGUCUUGGGGAAAGGGCUGAGUCCUGAGGCUAAGAGUCAAAAGAAGACCAGGGACAUUAGGGUUCUGGCCACAGAGGUGAAGAAGUCAUAGCUGGGCCUUGAACCAUGCGUAGGAUUUGAGUAGGGAGAGAGGCAGGUGCCGUGCUUUCCGGAUGGGAACUGCAUAAGCAAAGACCUGGCCUUGGGACCUUCCAAGAUGCCUUAGGAGCAGGGCACUGGGGUGGUGAUGUGGAAGGCCAGAGCACACCUGGGCUGGGGCCAGGUUAAGGAGUUGGUUUUGGGAGCCAUAGGGACUUUUGAGCGGAAGGGUGAUACAAUUUUAAAAAUCAUUAGCUAAUAACUAACUAAAGAUCAACAUGACAAUGGUGUUCAAGAAGAGAUUAACCUGCAGCAGCCUGAAGUAGCAAAUGGCUUCGUAAUUAUUUAAUCAUUAUUAUCAUUUUUUGUGGAGUUGGGUUUUACCCAGGCUGGUCUUGAACUCCUGGGCUCAAGUGAUUUGCCCUCCUCAGCCUCCCAAAGUGCUGGGAUUACAGGCAUGAGCCACCAGGCCCAGCUGCCUUGUAAUAUUUUUGUGGCUGAUUUUAUUUUAUUUUAUUUUAUUUUAUUAUUUGUUUUAUUUUUGAGACAGGGUCUGUCGCCCAGGUUGGAGUGCAGUGACAGCUCACUGCAACCUCCGCCUCCCAGGCUCAAGGAAUCCUCCUGCUUCAGCCUCCUGAGUAGCUGGGACCACAGGUGCACGCCACCAUGCCUGGCUAAUUUUUGUAUUUUUAGUAGAGAUGGGGUUUCGCCAUGUUGGCUAGGCUGGUCUCGAACUCCUGGCCUCAAGUGAUCGCCUGCCUCAGCCUCCCAAAAUGCUGUUAUUACAGGCGUGAGCCACUGUGCCCAGGCUUCAUUUAUUUUAAUUUUAGAGACAGGGUCUCACUCUGUUGCCCAGGCUGGAGUGCAGUGAUGCAAUCUUGGCUCACUGUACCCUAAAACUGUGUUCAAGUGAUCCUCCUGCCUCAGCCUCUCAAGUAGCUGGGACUACAGGCGCAUACCACUAUGACUGGCUAAUCUUUUUUUUUGUUUCUUUCUUUUUUUUUGAGGGAGGGCGUGGCUAUUUUCAAAAAUUAACUUUUAAUUACACAAAUUAUGUAACUACUACCUUUCACUGUGAGAAAUGGAAACAUUACAGAUAAAGUUGGAGUCUCUUUAACCAACCCCAUAAACCCCCAAAAGGUAACAGCUGUUAUUAGGCUGUGUGUGUAGUUCCAGACCUGGCCAGUGGGUUAACAUAAACGUGUAUCCUUAGCAAACACACAGUAACCCUCCAGUUACAUUAUGUACAUUGUUAUGUGUAAAUGUCAGCUUGUAAUUUGUUUUUCUUCUUUUCUUUUUCUUUUUCUUUUUUUUUUUUUUCAUUCAACAGCAUGUUUCAGAGCAUUCCAUGUCAGGACAUAUUUUGCUGACUCACCCUUUAAAAAAAUAAUGGAUCAAAUUUUUAGUGGGGAUAAUCCCAGCACUUUGGAAGGCUGAGGUGAGAGGUUGGCUUGAGCCCAGGAGUUCAAGACCAGCCUGGGCAACAUAGUCAGACCCCGCAUCUAAGAAAAAAAAAAAUUAGCCAGGCAUGGUGGGGUGGGCCCUGUAGUCCCAGCUACUUGGGAGGCUGAGGCAGGAGGAUCCCCUGAACCCAGGAGUUUGAGGUUGCAGUGAGCUAUGAUCGUACCACUGUGCUCCAGUCUGGCCACAGAGCAACACCCUGUCUCAAAAAAAAAAAAAAAAAAAAAGUACUGCCUGCGAAUACAGAUUUAACCAAAACCUUGGUUAUAGUUGAUCUAAAUGUUUUAAAUGUUUAUCUCUUUAAAUAAUUUUUUUCUUUAGACAGGGUUUCACUCUGUCACCCAGGCUGGAGUGCAGUGGGGCAGUCACCGCUCACUGCAGCCACCACCUCCCGGGCUCAGGUAAUCUUCCCACCUCAGCCUCCGGAGUAGCUGGGACUACAGAUGUGCACCAUCACUCCGGCUAAAAUUUGUACUUUUUGUAGAGACAGAGUUUCACCAUGUUGCCUAGGCAGGUCUCAUACUGCUGGGCUCAAGCAAUCCAUUCGCCUCGGCCUCCCAAAGUGCUGGGAUUACAGGUAUGAGUCACUGUACGCAGCCCAUGUAAAUAAUUUUAACUUUGGAAAAAAGGUAAAAUGGCAGAAGGUACGGAUACACCUUCAAUAAUGAAAUUAUGUCACUUUUUCUCCUCAGAAUUUAUUUUGAAAUAUAUCGGAGAAAAUAUGCCCAAGUCACUGCUCUAACGUUAUGAUGAAGUAACACUUGGUGUUGAAUAACUCUGGGCAAACAACUAUCGUUUAGUUUAUUCUAGCUGCUAUGAAUAAAGAAGAGAAAAUUUUAAUUGGUCCAUAACAUGAAAAGAAGGUGGGAUAGAUUUCAAACAGGCUUUCUUUGGAGAGAAGCAGUUAGUUAUGGAACAUUUCAUGGCUUAAAAGGGUUUAAACCAAAAUUUAAAAAAAACAACAACAAAAAACAACUAUUUCCUAAGGGGAAAUAAGGGACAACUUGUAAAACAUUCACCCCUAGACUUUUUGGGUUGAAAUAAUGGCACAUGUAGUGUAGGUACAUCAUUUAUUGGUCCGAGGCCACACAACACUAUAAAGCUCUUGACAUACUGUCUAUCAGGGAACUUGCAUGUAUCCAUUCAACAGUUAUAAACAAAAUUCAUCAGGCUUCAUAGAUAUGUCUUGAUCUAGGUGCUGCAUUUCAGAUAGAGCAGGUGCUGUUUCUAUUGGUGUUUCUUUAUUAUUUAUUUAUUUUUUUUGAGAUGAAGUUUCGCUCUUGUUGCCCAGGCUGGAGUGCAAUGGCAUGAUCUCAGCGCACUGCAACCUCCGCCUCCUAGGUUCAAGCGAUUUCUCCUGCCUCAGCUUCCCAAAUACGUGGGAUUACAGAUGCCUGCCACCACACCUGGCUA
rnacentral:lncRNA from 1 species